CUGAUAUUUCCUCCACACUGGCGCCUGUCAUUUCAGAGAAUAGUGCGAUGAAGAAUUUAUAGAGCUUUUGAGGUGUCGCAUGCUGGACAGCAUCCCUGAUAAAAUGCAGUGAUGAAUUGCUAACAACAAGACAGAAAUGUGCAUCAAGAAAGUAAAUCGGGUCAGUUUUAAUUUCAUGUUGACACUAAAAGAAAGGGCAUAUGUGAUCUGAGAAGAAAAACUCAGAUGAGAUGUAUGAGACUGACAAAGAGUAAGCGAAGGAGACCCAGGGUGAAUGGUGGUAAAGCUGAAUGAUUGCUUGAGAUCGAUGCCGGGGCCAGGCGAGAGAGCAGAGGAGAGGAUGGACAGAACAAAAGUGGUGCACAUCUGUCCUCAGGGUCAGAGGGUCAAAGUGAAGGGACAGAUCCUCUGGGACAGUCUGCCACGGCCAUUCAACUAUCCUGCCUCUUCUUUCCAUCCUUUCCCUCUCUUUUCCGUCCACUCCAUCCCCCGCCUGAGGACUGCUGUCAUCCGGCGUGACACUAAGAGGGGACAGGGAUCGCUUCCAAUCACCCUCCAUCAGCUUUUAUU